rnacentral:misc_RNA from 1 species
AAAGUGCGAUAAGCAAUGCGAAUUGCAGAAUUCCGCGAAUCAUCAGAUCCUUGAACGCAACUGGCGCUAGAUGGCUCUCCAUCUAGCAUGUCUGUUUCAGUGUCUGAAAACCUCACAUCUAACUUAAUGUGGUUGACAAGAGAGAAAGUUUUUAUUAAAAAACUCUCUAUUCAAGUCUUCCAUGAAAGAUGUGCGUGUGGGUCUUUGGACCCCUCAUCGAAUUGGUCACUGGUCUCUUCAGUGAUUUCGAUAGGGGGAAAAAAUUUUACCAAUUACUCGAAUACACGCAGAACUUUUAACCACUCAAACUCUGUAUCUGAAAUCAGGCAAGAACACCCGCUGAACUUAA